UGCAGUCGACGAUGAACCACUUCGGUGGGGAUUAGUGGCGAACGGGUGAGUAACACGUGGGCAAUCUGCCCUGCACUCUGGGACAAGCCCUGGAAACGGGGUCUAAUACCGGAUACUGACCCGCUUGGGCAUCCAAGCGGUUCGAAAGCUCCGGCGGUGCAGGAUGAGCCCGCGGCCUAUCAGCUUGUUGGUGAGGUAAUGGCUCACCAAGGCGACGACGGGUAGCCGGCCUGAGAGGGCGACCGGCCACACUGGGACUGAGACACGGCCCAGACUCCUACGGGAGGCAGCAGUGGGGAAUAUUGCACAAUGGGCGAAAGCCUGAUGCAGCGACGCCGCGUGAGGGAUGACGGCCUUCGGGUUGUAAACCUCUUUCAGCAGGGAAGAAGCGAAAGUGACGGUACCUGCAGAAGAAGCGCCGGCUAACUACGUGCCAGCAGCCGCGGUAAUACGUAGGGCGCGAGCGUUGUCCGGAAUUAUUGGGCGUAAAGAGCUCGUAGGCGGCUUGUCACGUCGGUUGUGAAAGCCCGGGGCUUAACCCCGGGUCUGCAGUCGAUACGGGCAGGCUAGAGUUCGGUAGGGGAGAUCGGAAUUCCUGGUGUAGCGGUGAAAUGCGCAGAUAUCAGGAGGAACACCGGUGGCGAAGGCGGAUCUCUGGGCCGAUACUGACGCUGAGGAGCGAAAGCGUGGGGAGCGAACAGGAUUAGAUACCCUGGUAGUCCACGCCGUAAACGGUGGGCACUAGGUGUGGGCGACAUUCCACGUCGUCCGUGCCGCAGC
rnacentral:rRNA from 1 species